rnacentral:misc_RNA from 1 species
UCCGACUAUUUCUAGAUCUGCAAUUAAAUUUCUUGUUAUGUAUAUCUGAGCAAAACAUUAAACAUAUACUGUCCAAGGGAACUUCAGAAAGAAGCUGCUUACCCCAAGUCGAUAAGAACCAAAAGUUAAAAUGACAGCAUUUGCAUCCUCAACCAUCUGAUCAAUGUACCCUCUCAGUCGAGUAAGAUCUUUCACCCAGUCCUUCACAAUCUGCUUUAGCUGGCAGAGAACUCCUUCUCUCUUAGCAGCCUCCUCAGCGCUUUCAUAAAGUCCAGCACCGACCAAGAACUUUUCCAACUCUUUGGUACGCUGAAUAUCAGCCUCCAUAGGUCCUGCUAGAGACAAGGGUUUCGUUACCCCAUACUCCUUAGGCAGUGGAACCUGCUGGGUCGGUGGCAAAGUAAUGGAACAAUUGGAAACCCCCAUCACUUAAACAGGACAGAAUUUAAAAACUUCUUGUGGUAGUUCGAUAUAAGGACCAAAGAUUCAAUCUUUAAAGAGAAAAUAUGGAGAAAUUGACCAACAAACGGAUCGGAAAUUCGAAAUUCAAACUCUUAUAGAAGCGAAAGUUGAAUUUUGG